AGCCUGCCCAGUGACAAAGUUCAACGGCCGCGGUAUCCUAACCGUGCAAAGGUAGCAUAAUCACUUGUUCUUUAAAUAGGGACCUGUAUCAACGGCACCACGAGGGUUGCGCUGUCUCCCCCUUCCAAUCAGUGAAACUGAUCUCCCCGUGAAGAAGCGGGGAUAAACCUAUAAGACGAGAAGACCCCAUGGAGCUUAAAACCGACAGCAACUCAACCUCACACCCCCCCACAACCCACAGAGCCAUGUACCCCGGUUUUAGGUUGGGGCGACCGCGGAGUAAAAAUCACCCUCCAUGACGAAAAGACUUAAAUCUUUAUCCCAGAGCCACACCUCCAAGAAUUAGUACACUAACGAAAAUGACCCAAUUAUGAUCAACGAACCAAGUUACCCUGGGGAUAACAGCGCAAUCUACUUCAAGAGUCCAUAUCGACAAGUAGGCUUACGACCUCGAUGUUGGAUCAGGGUACCCCAGGGGUGCAGCCGCUCCUAACGGUUCGUUUGUUCAACGAUUA
rnacentral:rRNA from 1 species